rnacentral:rRNA from 1 species
AUAAAAGGUACUCCGGGGAUAACAGGCUGAUACCGCCCAAGAGUUCAUAUCGACGGCGGUGUUUGGCACCUCGAUGUCGGCUCAUCACAUCCUGGGGCUGAAGUCGGUCCCAAGGGUAUGGCUGUUCGCCAUUUAAAGUGGUACGCGAGCUGGGUUUAGAACGUCGUGAGACAGUUCGGUCCCUAUCUGCCGUGGGCGUUGGAAGAUUGAAGGGGGCUGCUCCUAGUACGAGAGGACCGGAGUGGACGAACCUCUGGUGUUCGGGUUGUGUCGCCAGACGCAUUGCCCGGUAGCUAAGUUCGGAAUUGAUAAGCGCUGAAAGCAUCUAAGCGCGAAGCGAGCCCUGAGAUGAGUCUUCCCUGAUACUUUAAGUAUCCUAAAGGGUUGUUCGAGACUAGAACGUUGAUAGGCAGGGUGUGUAAGCGUUGUGAGGCGUUGAGCUAACCUGUACUAAUUGCCCGUGAGGCUUAACCAUACAACACCCAAGGGGUUUUGUA